rnacentral:rRNA from 1 species
GAUGAACGCUGGCGGCGUGCCUAAUACAUGCAAGUCGAGCGAACGGACGAGAAGCUUGCUUCUCUGAUGUUAGCGGCGGACGGGUGAGUAACACGUGGAUAACCUACCUAUAAGACUGGGAUAACUUCGGGAAACCGGAGCUAAUACCGGAUAAUAUUUUGAACCGCAUGGUUCAAAAGUGAAAGACGGUCUUGCUGUCACUUAUAGAUGGAUCCGCGCUGCAUUAGCUAGUUGGUAAGGUAACGGCUUACCAAGGCAACGAUGCAUAGCCGACCUGAGAGGGUGAUCGGCCAGCCUGGAACUGAGACACGUUCGAGACUCUUACGGGAGGCAGCGGUAGGGAAUCUUCCGCGAUGGGCGAAAGCCUGACGGAGCAACGCCGCGUGAGUGAUGAAGGUCUUCGGAUCGGAGAACUCUGUUAUUAGUGAAGAAGAUAUGUGUAAGUAACUGUGCACAUCUUGACGGUACCUAAUCAGAAAGCCACGGCUAACUACGUG